AUGCCUUACGAUGAGCGGUACACACCAUACAUCAAGCAGGCAGGACUACUCCCGUGGAUUCAGUUGGUCAGGCGGUCCACGCCGAAUCUGAACGCUCCACUGGUGUCCGCACUUGCCGAUCGGUGGAGGCCGGAGACGCAUAGUUUCCAUCUUCGGACUGGGGAGAUGACCGUGACGCUCGAGGAUGUCUCGUUGAUCACCGGUCUUGCUAUCGACGGGAUGCCUCUCUGUAUGAGCACCGAUUCUGAUGGGUGGCGCGAGCAGAUGAUUGCUCUUAUCGGUAUGGCUCCUACUGAGGCUGAGGCUGAUGUAGAGGAGGGAGAAGAGAAGAAGAAGAGGGAAAGGAAAGCAGCGGGAGCUGCUUUCACGUGGAUUCAAACUCACUUUGCGACGUGCCCUCCGGAUGCCACUGAUGAUGUGAUCCAGACACAUGCUCGUGUCUACAUGUGGUAUGUUGUGUCGAGGACUUUGUUUCCUGACUCCACUGGCAAGAACGCUCCAUGGAUGUGGCUG
rnacentral:rRNA from 1 species